UUGUGUCUCCAAAGGUAGUGAUAUACAUUACUGGAUUAAUUUUAUCUCCAAAAUAUAAGCAGUAAAGUUACAUCAAUUACUUGCUCUUUCAAAUUGAAUUCAGGGACUUCACAACUUCAUCCACAGUAACUGAGAAAACCCCAGUGAGCUUGUGCAUUAUAAUACAGGACAAUGCUGCCAAUUCCAAGUGUUAUGAGUUAUGUUUUUACUUAAAUUCCAGUAUUGGAGUCUGCUGUGCAAGACACGUCUACACCCGUCGUUGCUGACUGAAUCUUCACGUCAUGGCCUGUGUGUUCUGUGUAGUCCCUGAUAGUGCAACUCAGGGGAAAUACUAGCAGAGAGGCUGCAAGUAGUCUGUGGAUAACCUGUGAAGAUCCCCGAAGUUUUUCUGUGUGGGACUGACAUUAAUUUUGAGGAUUGGAAUGAGCACUGCAGAUAGAGCAAUGUGUUUUUCAGCUAAGAGGGUUUAACCUUCUUUGUCAAUGACAAAUGCUCAUGUAGAUGCACUAAGAGGAUAUUUGAGCUUGGAAAAGUUGGGAGGUACUCCGGGAUUUGUUUUUCACCUGCAAGCAAGCAGCACAGCUUUAAAGGGCUGUUUGAAGAUCUUCAACAGAUCGGAUCUGCUUUCUCUCCUCUCCCUUCUGCUCCCUCUUGCCAUGCCUGUGCUGACGGAACAGACCAGAAAGAGACCAGCUUGAUACAGACCACAGCAGUGCUACUUGGGGUUAAGCUGUCCUGCGUGAGAGCACAGAGAGCUCUCUUUAGAUGGUUUUUAGUGCAGUGAGGAUGGACAUCUGUGAUCAUCAUCAGCUGUGAGAAAACCCAGUCAAACCUCAUAACUCAAGAAUUAAGAUCAUAUCCUACUUUGGGCCUGCUGCUUGCCUCCCUUGUGGUUUUAGUGAAUCAAAGGAACUUGCAGUCUGUGUGGGCAAGGCUGGAAGAUAAGAGGCACAUACCUUCAGGAGGCGGUGUGUGCUACAGGAGGAGAGCUGUGUGUGUUUGCUGUUGGCACGUUCUCUGUGCCAUGGGUUGGUCAUUUUUCUGAGGCAGAAAUUAAGGGCAGAGGCUCACUUUUCUUAGGUGGGGUGUGAGAGAGCUGAACUUGUGCCAGCAGCCAGAAAUUACAAUUUAAAAAGUACUCUGGUGGUGGGUUUGAUUUUACUUCAACUCUUAGCAAGACAAGGGGUUUGGGUCUAUUAGGACUUCCUGGUAUUUUGUUUGUAACUCAUUGCAAAGCUCCUCAUCAGCCUUGAUCAGCAACCUGAGCUGGUGGAAGGUGUUCCUGCCCAUGGCAGGGGCUUGAAAUGAGAUCGUUUUUAGGUCCCUUCCAACCCAGACCAUUCUGUGAUUCCAUGGUUCUGUGUUGGAUUUGCAGUGUGCCUUUUGAAACAUGGGGCUCUUUCCCAGCCCCUGCUGUUCUCCUGCUGCCACGCUUUGUUCCUGUGCUCCCUGUGUGUGCCUGAUGGCACUGCCACCCCUCUCUGCCCUGCCACCAGGCUUCCUAAACACUCCCUCACGACUUUGUGGCUUUCCAGGUGCCUCUCUAGUU
ensembl:lncRNA